UGCUUAACACAUGCAAGUCGAACGGCAGCAUAGUCUAGCUUGCUAGACUGAUGGCGAGUGGCGAACGGGUGAGUAACGCGUAGGAAUAUGCCUUAAAGAGUGGGACAACUUGGGGAAACUCAAGCUAAUACCGCAUAAGCUCUGAGGAGUAAAGCUGGGGACCUUCGGGCCUGGCGCUUUAAGAUUAGCCUGCGUCCGAUUAGCUAGUUGGUAGGGUAAGGGCCUACCAAGGCGACGAUCGGUAGCUGGUCUGAGAGGAUGACCAGCCACACUGGGACUGAGACACGGCCCAGACUCCUACGGGAGGCAGCAGUGGGGAAUAUUGGACAAUGGGGGCAACCCUGAUCCAGCAAUGCCGCGUGUGUGAAGAAGGCCUGAGGGUUGUAAAGCACUUUCAGUGGGGAGGAGUGGAUAUUAGGUUAAGAGCUAGAUAUUCGGACGUUACCCACAGAAGAAGCACCGGCUAACUCCGUGCCAGCAGCCGCGGUAAUACGGAGGGUGCGAGCGUUAAUCGGAAUUACUGGG
rnacentral:rRNA from 1 species